rnacentral:rRNA from 1 species
GAAUUUUGGACAAUGGGCGAAAGCCUGAUCCAGCAAUGCCGCGUGCAGGAUGAAGGCCUUCGGGUUGUAAACUGCUUUUGUACGGAACGAAAAGCUUUGGGUUAUUACCCUGGACUCCUGCCGUUACCGUAAGAAUAAGCACCGGCUACCUACGUGCCAGCACCCGCGGAAAUACGUAGGGUGCAAUCGUUACUCGGAAUUCCUGGGCGUAAAGCGUGCGCAGGCGGUUUUGUAAGACAGAGGUGAAAUCCCCGGGCUCAACCUGGGAACUGCCUUUGUGACUGCAAGGCUAGAGUACGGCAGAGGGGGGUGGAAUUCCGCGUGUAGCAGUGAAAUGCGUAGAUAUGCGGAGGAACACCGAUGGCGAAGGCAACCCCCUGGGCCCGUACUGACGCUCAUGCACGAAAGCGUGGGGAGCAAACA